rnacentral:misc_RNA from 1 species
CCAAUAGCGUAUAUUAAAGUUGUUGCAGUUAAAAAGCUCGUAGUUGAAUUUCGGGACCAAUCUGCCGGUCGUGCCUCCGGUACGCACUGGUUUUAUUGGUUUCUCCCUUCUGACGAACCAUGAUGUCAUUAAUUUGGUGUCAUGGGGAAUCAGGACUGUUACUUUGAAAAAAUUAGAGUGUUUAUAGCAGGCUCACGCUUGAAUACAUUAGCAUGGAAUAAUGAAAUAGGACGUUUGACCCUAUUUUGUUGGUUUCUAGGAUCGACGUAAUGAUUAAUAGGGAUAGUUGGGGGCAUUAGUAUUCAAUUGUCAGAGGUGAAAUUCUUGGAUUUAUUGAAGACUAACUACUGCGAAAGCAUUUGCCAAGGAUGUUUUCAUUAAUCAAGAACGAAAGUUAGGGGAUCGAAGACGAUCAGAUACCGUCGUAGUCUUAACCAUAAACUAUGCCGACUAGGGAUCGGAUGAUGUUAAUUUUUUAAUGACUCAUUCGGCGCCUUGCG